UAUACUAAAACACAUUGAGUUGUGCACUUUACAUGAGUGAAUUGUGUGGUAUGUGAAUUUAUAUCUCAAUAAAGCUAUUUUUAAAAUGAUAAAAGCAAAUGUUAAUGAACUGUUAUCUAAGAGCUUUUUUCUGUGUGCAUGGGAAAUCCCAUAAAAUAGACAAAUCUGUCAAAUCAGCAGAGCAAAUAAGACAUAGACUUAAGGAGAAAUUGAAAUGGAAGAUUUAGAAAAGGAUACAGAGAAGUGUAAACCAAAAUGAAUAUUUUUACAUUUUAUGGUAAGAGCAGAGAAUAGCUAUUACCGUAACGUUUCAUGUCUCUGUGUUGUUACUGAUCUUUUUAAGUUAUUCUCUCUGCUGAAAACACUCUUAAUAUCAUCCUUUGUUUAAUGAUGAUAAAACAUAUCAUUUUUAAGUGCAUAGUUCAGUAGCAUUAAAUGCAUUCAAAUUGUGCAGCUGUCACCAUCAUCCGUUUUGGCUUUUGGGAAUAGCGAAUGCUGCAGUGUACAUGGCUGUACAGCUUAUCUGUUUGAGUCCCUGCUUUCAGUUCUGGGUAUAUAUCAAGAAGUAGAGUUUAUGUAGCAAUUUUUAAUUUUUUGAGGAAACACUGCAUGGUGUUUGUUUGUUUUGGU
rnacentral:lncRNA from 1 species